rnacentral:rRNA from 1 species
AACGCUGGCGGCGUGCUUAACACAUGCAAGUCGAACGGACGAUGAAGAGCUUGCUUUUCAGAGUUAGUGGCGGACGGGUGAGUAACGCGUGGGUAACCUGCCUCAUACAGGGGGAUAGCAGCUGGAAACGGCUGAUAAAACCGCAUAAGCGCACAGCAUCGCAUGAUGCAGUGUGAAAAACUCCGGUGGUAUGAGAUGGACCCGCGUCUGAUUAGCUAGUUGGUGGGGUAACGGCCUACCAAGGCGACGAUCAGUAGCCGACCUGAGAGGGUGACCGGCCACAUUGGGACUGAGACACGGCCCAAACUCCUACGGGAGGCAGCAGUGGGGAAUAUUGCACAAUGGGGGAAACCCUGAUGCAGCGACGCCGCGUGAAGGAUGAAGUAUUUCGGUAUGUAAACUUCUAUCAGCAGGGAAGAAAAUGACGGUACCUGACUAAGAAGCCCCGGCUAACUACGUGCCAGCAGCCGCGGUAAUACGUAGGGGGUAAGCGUUAUCCGGAUUUACUGGGUGUAAAGGGAGCGUAGACGGCAUUGCAAGCCAGAUGUGAAAGCCCGGGGCUCAACCCCGGGACUGCAUUUGGAACUGUAGAGCUAGAGUGUCGGAGAGGCAAGUGGAAUUCCUAGUGUAGCGGUGAAAUGCGUAGAUAUUAGGAGGAACACCAGUGGCGAAGGCGGCUUGCUGGACGAUGACUGACGUUGAGGCUCGAAAGCGUGGGGAGCAAACAGGAUUAGAUACCCUGGUAGUCCACGCCGUAAACGAUGACUACUAGGUGUCGGGUAGCAAAGCUAUUCGGUGCCGCAGCAAACGCAAUAAGUAGUCCACCUGGGGAGUACGUUCGCAAGAAUGAAACUCAAAUGAAUUGACGG